GUGAAUGAAGGCUGUUUGUGACUAAAUAUUUUCAUUCUAAUUACCAAUCUUCAAUUCUAGGAAAUGGAAUUUUUUUUAAAGAGCUAUUAACACAAAACCCUAAACACCUGUUUUGGGAAUGGGGUAUCGUCGUCUGAGCAAGUGAGAGCACCAUCGCCCGUUCGUGAAUCGUGAGAAACUGGCUCAUCGUAGAAUUCAAUAAUACCCUUUGCCGACCUAUAGUGUUCUGGAAAUAUAAAUUAGGGCUUAGAUACGAGAGAACUUGGAGAAUCGAAAAAUAAAGAUUAAUCGAGGAAAAUUUUGAGAAAGACUAUAACCUGUGAAAUUGAUGGGGAGAAGAUAUGUCGUUCUAAAGUGAUAGAGGAGA
rnacentral:lncRNA from 1 species